AAGGAUCAUUAACACGUAUCCAAAACGUACCAACCCCAAUUGGCGAACACCAACCCCGCAGCCUUGUCUGUGUUGUGUUUCUUUCGAGAAACACGCAGCUUGCAGUUGGGAACGACUGCAUUGCUGAUGUCGCCUUGUGCGACUGCACGACUUGCGCAGCCUAUUUUUUUCCAAACAACCUUUACCGGUCUGACGGAAAACUCAAUUGUGAACGCGUGGCUUGCACGCCGACACAACUAAGAUAUAUUGAACGCUGAACAACUUUUAGCAACGGAUAUCUUGGUUCUC
rnacentral:misc_RNA from 1 species